rnacentral:rRNA from 1 species
UAAGUUAGAAAGGGCGCACGGUGGAUGCCUUGACACUAGGAGUCGAUGAAGGACGGGACUAACGCCGAUAUGCUUCGGGGAGCUGUAAGUAAGCUUUGAUCCGAAGAUUUCCGAAUGGGGAAACCCACCAUACGUAAUGGUAUGGUAUCCUUAUCUGAAUACAUAGGGUAAGGAAGACAGACCCAGGGAACUGAAACAUCUAAGUACCUGGAGGAAGAGAAAGCAAAUGCGAUUUCCUGAGUAGCGGCGAGCGAAACGGAACAUAGCCCAAACCAAGAGGCUUGCCUCUUGGGGUUGUAGGACAUUCUAUACGGAGUUACAAAGGAACGAGGUAGACGAAGCGACCUGGAAAGGUCCGUCGUAGAGGGUAACAACCCCGUAGUCGAAACUUCGUUCUCUCUUGAAUGUAUCCUGAGUACGGCGGAACACGUGAAAUUCCGUCGGAAUCUGGGAGGACCAUCUCCCAAGGCUAAAUACUCCCUAGUGAUCGAUAGUGAACCAGUACCGUGAGGGAAAGGUGAAAAGCACCCCGGAAGGGGAGUGAAAGAGAUCCUGAAACCGUGUGCCUACAAAUAGUCAGAGCCCGUUAACGGGUGAUGGCGUGCCUUUUGUAGAAUGAACCGGCGAGUUACGAUCCCGUGCGAGGUUAAGCUGAAGAGGCGGAGCCGCAGCGAAAGCGAGUCUGAAUAGGGCGUUUAGUACGUGGUCGUAGACCCGAAACCAGGUGAUCUACCCAUGUCCAGGGUGAAGUUCAGGUAACACUGAAUGGAGGCCCGAACCCACGCACGUUGAAAAGUGCGGGGAUGAGGUGUGGGUAGCGGAGAAAUUCCAAUCGAACCUGGAGAUAGCUGGUUCUCCCCGAAAUAGCUUUAGGGCUAGCCUUAAGUGUAAGAGUCUUGGAGGUAGAGCACUGAUUGGACUAGGGGUCCUCAUCGGAUUACCGAAUUCAGUCAAACUCCGAAUGCCAAUGACUUAUCCUUAGGAGUCAGACUGCGAGUGAUAAGAUCCGUAGUCAAAGGGAAACAGCCCAGACCGCCAGCUAAGGUCCCAAAGUGUGUAUUAAGUGGAAAAGGAUGUGGAGUUGCUUAGACAACUAGGAUGUUGGCUUAGAAGCAGCCACCAUUUAAAGAGUGCGUAAUAGCUCACUAGUCGAGUGACUCUGCGCCGAAAAUGUACCGGGGCUAAAUACACCACCGAAGCUGCGGAUUGAUACCAAUGGUAUCAGUGGUAGGGGAGCGUUCUAAGGACAGUGAAGUCAGACCGGAAGGACUGGUGGAGUGCUUAGAAGUGAGAAUGCCGGUAUGAGUAGCGAAAGACGGGUGAGAAUCCCGUCCACCGAAUGCCUAAGGUUUCCUGAGGAAGGCUCGUCCGCUCAGGGUUAGUCAGGACCUAAGCCGAGGCCGACAGGCGUAGGCGAUGGACAACAGGUUGAUAUUCCUGUACCACCUCUUUAUCGUUUGAGCAAUGGAGGGACGCAGAAGGAUAGAAGAAGCGUGCGAUUGGUUGUGCACGUCCAAGCAGUUAGGCUGAUAAGUAGGCAAAUCCGCUUAUCGUGAAGGCUGAGCUGUGAUGGGGAAGCUCCUUAUGGAGCGAAGUCUUUGAUUCCCCGCUGCCAAGAAAAGCUUCUAGCGAGAUAAAAGGUGCCUGUACCGCAAACCGACACAGGUAGGCGAGGAGAGAAUCCUAAGGUGUGCGAGAGAACUCUGGUUAAGGAACUCGGCAAAAUGACCCCGUAACUUCGGGAGAAGGGGUGCUUUCUUAACGGAAAGCCGCAGUGAAUAGGCCCAAGCGACUGUUUAGCAAAAACACAGCUCUCUGCGAAGCCGUAAGGCGAAGUAUAGGGGGUGACACCUGCCCGGUGCUGGAAGGUUAAGGAGAGGGGUUAGCGUAAGCGAAGCUCUGAACUGAAGCCCCAGUAAACGGCGGCCGUAACUAUAACGGUCCUAAGGUAGCGAAAUUCCUUGUCGGGUAAGUUCCGACCCGCACGAAAGGUGUAACGAUUUGGGCACUGUCUCAACCAGAGACUCGGUGAAAUUAUAGUACCUGUGAAGAUGCAGGUUACCCGCGACAGGACGGAAAGACCCCGUGGAGCUUUACUGUAGCCUGAUAUUGAAUUUUGGUACAGUUUGUACAGGAUAGGCGGGAGCCUUUGAAACCGGAGCGCUAGCUUCGGUGGAGGCGCUGGUGGGAUACCGCCCUGACUGUAUUGAAAUUCUAACCUACGGGUCUUAUCGACCCGGGAGACAGUGUCAGGUGGGCAGUUUGACUGGGGCGGUCGCCUCCUAAAGUGUAACGGAGGCGCCCAAAGGUUCCCUCAGAAUGGUUGGAAAUCAUUCGUAGAGUGCAAAGGCAUAAGGGAGCUUGACUGCGAGACCUACAAGUCGAGCAGGGACGAAAGUCGGGCUUAGUGAUCCGGUGGUUCCGCAUGGAAGGGCCAUCGCUCAACGGAUAAAAGCUACCCCGGGGAUAACAGGCUUAUCUCCCCCAAGAGUCCACAUCGACGGGGAGGUUUGGCACCUCGAUGUCGGCUCAUCGCAUCCUGGGGCUGUAGUCGGUCCCAAGGGUUGGGCUGUUCGCCCAUUAAAGCGGUACGCGAGCUGGGUUCAGAACGUCGUGAGACAGUUCGGUCCCUAUCCGUCGUGGGCGUAGGAAAUUUGAGAGGAGCUGUCCUUAGUACGAGAGGACCGGGAUGGACGCACCGCUGGUGUACCAGUUGUUCUGCCAAGGGCAUAGCUGGGUAGCUAUGUGCGGAAGGGAUAAGUGCUGAAAGCAUCUAAGCAUGAAGCCCCCCUCAAGAUGAGAUUUCCCAUAGCGUAAGCUAGUAAGAUCCCUGAAAGAUGAUCAGGUUGAUAGGUUCGAGGUGGAAGCAUGGUGACAUGUGGAGCUGACGAAUACUAAUAGAUCGAGGACUUAACCA